AGAGUUUGAUCCUGGCUGAGAGUGAACGCUGGCGGCGUGCUUAACACAUGCAAGUCGAACGAGAACGGGUUAAAGCUUGCUUUAACUGUCAGCUAAGUGGCGCACGGGUGAGUAAUAUAUAGGUAACGUGCCUUCAAGAAGGGGAUAACAAUUGGAAACGAUUGCUAAUACCCUAUAUGCCUUUAAGUCUUAAGACUGCAAGGGAAAUAUUUAUAGCUUGAAGAUCGGCCUGUACAGUAUCAGUUAGUUGGUGAGGUAAUGGCUCACCAAGACAAUGACGCUUAACUGGUUUGAGAGGAUGAUCAGUCACACUGGAACUGAGACACGGUCCAGACUCCUACGGGAGGCAGCAGUGGGGAAUAUUGCACAAUGGACGAAAGUCUGAUGCAGCAACGCCGCGUGGAGGAUGACACAUUUCGGUGCGUAAACUCCUUUUAUAUAGGAAGAUAAUGACGGUACUAUAUGAAUAAGCACCGGCUAACUCCGUGCCAGCAGCCGCGGUAAUACGGAGGGUGCAAGCGUUACUCGGAAUCACUGGGCGUAAAGAGAAUGUAGGCGGGUAGAUAAGUUUGAAGUGAAAUCCAAUGGCUCAACCAUUGAACUGCUUUGAAAACUGUUUACCUAGAAUAUGGGAGAGGUAGAUGGAAUUUCUGGUGUAGGGGUAAAAUCCGUAGAGAUCAGAAGGAAUACCGAUUG
rnacentral:rRNA from 1 species